rnacentral:lncRNA from 1 species
AGUCGGCGGAGCACCCCCUCGACGUGAAGUCGAGCCAACCACGUCGAGCCCGUGUGAUUCUUCAAAGGUAGCUCCUUCUGGCGUCCUACUUGAUGUGUCAUCGAGUCCAUGUGGUCGAGUCUGCUCCCAGGCGGCUUCCUGGCGUCCUACUCGACGUGAAGUCGAGCCAUGACGUCGAGUCUGGUCCUGGGUGAUCUUGAACGACUUCAUUCCUCUCCAACUCGAUCCCAAGUCUAGCUCCAAGGUCGUGUUGGGGCCCUCUUUGCUCCAUUAAGUCCCAAAUAAGCUCCAAAGUACCU